GAUGAACGCUAGCGAUAGGCCUAACACAUGCAAGUCGAGGGGCAUCGGGGCGAGGAGCAAUCCUUGCCGCCGGCGACCGGCGCACGGGUGAGUAACGCGUAUGCGACCUGCCCGUUGCAGGGGGAUAAUCGGGAGAAAUCCCGUCUAAUACCGCGUAACGCCGCGGGGCUGCAUGGCCCUGCGGCCAAAGGAAGCGAUUCCGGCAACGGAUGGGCAUGCGUGACAUUAGCUAGUUGGCGGGGCAACGGCCCACCAAGGCGACGAUGUCUAGGGGUUCUGAGAGGAAGGUCCCCCACACUGGUACUGAGACACGGCCCAA
rnacentral:rRNA from 1 species